AUUGUCUGUGGCUCUGUGACAAAACCUCUAAUUGAAGCAGUGUUGUUAAGAAAUAGAAAAACAAAUGUUUCAGAUGCAACUGAUAUUCCAAGUCUGGAAGAAGACCUAAGGCAACUUUUCUUUGAAAAUGGUGACUCAAGCGGGCAAGGCAACAAUCAAAUAGCCCCAAGGGCAAGUAGCCUAAGGUUGCUAAUAGCUCACCCCACAAUAACUGUUCACUACUUGUGGAGAAAAUUCGACGAAC
rnacentral:misc_RNA from 1 species